UCACCAAAGGCCAUGGUCGCCAGAGUUGU
rnacentral:piRNA from 1 species